rnacentral:miRNA from 1 species
UCCCUGAGAAUGCUCCGACAUCU